GAUGAACGCUGGCGGCGUGCCUAAUACAUGCAAGUCGAGCGAACGGACGAGAAGCUUGCUUCUCUGAUGUUAGCGGCGGACGGGUGAGUAACACGUGGAUAACCUACCUAUAAGACUGGGAUAACAUCGGGAAACCGUAGCUAAUACCGGAUAAUAUUUUGAACCGCAUGGUUCAAAAGUGAAAGACGGUCUUGCUGUCACUUAUAGAUGGAUCCGCGCUGCAUUAGCUAGUUGGUAAGGUAACGGCUUACCAAGGCAACGAUGCAUAGCCGACCUGAGAGGGUGAUCGGCCACACUGGAACUGAGACACGGUCCAGACUCCUACGGGAGGCAGCAGUAGGGAAUCUUCCGCAAUGGGCGAAAGCCUGACGGAGCAACGCCGCGUGAGUGAUGAAGGUCUUCGGAUCGUAAAACUCUGUUAUUAGGGAAGAACAUAUGUGUAAGUAACUGUGCACAUCUUGACGGUACCUAAUCAGAAAGCCACGGCUAACUACGUG
rnacentral:rRNA from 1 species